UGGUAAAGUAAGGAAGAGCCUGCUAUUGGU
rnacentral:piRNA from 1 species